UGGCUCAGAUGGUAAAGCGUCUGCCUACAACGCAGGAGACCUGGGUUCAAUCCCUG
rnacentral:tRNA from 1 species